rnacentral:rRNA from 1 species
AGCGAACGCUGGCGGCAGGCCUAACACAUGCAAGUCGAACGAAGUCUUCGGACUUAGUGGCGGACGGGUGAGUAACACGUGGGAACGUACCUUUUGGUUGGAACAACUCAGGGAAACUUGAGCUAAUACCGGAUGAGCCCUUAGGGGGAAAGAUUUAUCGCCGAAAGAGCGGCCCGCGUUAGAUUAGCUAGUUGGUGAGGUAGAGGCUCACCAAGGCUACGAUCUAUAGCUGGUCUGAGAGGAUGAUCAGCCACACUGGGACUGAGACACGGCCCAGACUCCUACGGGAGGCAGCAGUGGGGAAUCUUGCGCAAUGGGCGAAAGCCUGACGCAGCCAUGCCGCGUGAAUGAUGAAGGUCUUAGGAUUGUAAAAUUCUUUUACCAGGGACGAUAAUGACGGUACCUGGAGAAAAAGCCCCGGCUAACUUCGUGCCAGCCGCCGCGGUAAUAC